rnacentral:rRNA from 1 species
UUGGAUCCAGACUUUGAUUAUGGCUCAGGAUGAACGCUAGCUACAGGCUUAACACAUGCAAGUCGAGGGGCAGCAUGACGAUAGCUUGCUAUUGUUGAUGGCGACCGGCGCACGGGUGAGUAACGCGUAUCCAACCUUCCCGUUGCUAGGGGAUAACCUUGCGAAAGUAAGACUAAUACCCUAUGAUGUUCUUCGCAGGCAUCUAAAGAGAACCAAAGAUUUAUCGGCAACGGAUGGGGAUGCGUCUGAUUAGGUUGUUGGCGGGGUAACGGCCCACCAAGCCUACGAUCAGUAGGGGUUCUGAGAGGAAGGUCCCCCACAUUGGAACUGAGACACGGUCCAAACUCCUACGGGAGGCAGCAGUGAGGAAUAUUGGUCAAUGGACGGAAGUCUGAACCAGCCAAGUAGCGUGCAGGAUGACGGCCCUAUGGGUUGUAAACUGCUUUUAUGUGGGAAUAAAGUGAGGGACGUGUCCCUUUUUGUAGGUACCACAUGAAUAAGGACCGGCUAAUUCCGUGCCAGCAGCCGCGGUAAUACGGAAGGUCCGGGCGUUAUCCGGAUUUAUUGGGUUUAAAGGGAGCGUAGGCCGUCUUUUAAGCGUGUUGUGAAAUACUGUCGCUCAACGACAGAGGUGCAGCGCGAACUGGGAGACUUGAGUGCGCGGAAUGCAGGCGGAAUUCGUCGUGUAGCGGUGAAAUGCUUAGAUAUGACGAAGAACUCCGAUUGCGAAGGCAGCUUGCAGUAGCGUAACUGACGCUGAAGCUCGAAAGUGCGGGUAUCGAACAGGAUUAGAUACCCUGGUAGUCCGCACGGUAAACGAUGGAUGCUCGCUGUGUGCCUCUGGGUACGCGGCCAAGCGAAAGCGUUAAGCAUCCCACCUGGGGAGUACGCCGGCAACGGUGCAACUCAAAGGAAUUGACGGA